UUGUGCCAGCCGCCGCGGUAAUUCCAGUCUCCAAUAGCGUAUAUUAAAGUUGUUGUGGUUAAAAAGCUCGUAGGUGAACCUUGGGCCUGGCUGGCCGGUCCGCCUCACCGCGUGCACUGGUCCGGCCGGGCCUUUCCCUCUGUGGAACCCCAUACCCUUCACUGGGCGUGGCGGGGAAACAGGACAUUUACUUUGAAAAAAUUAGAGUGCUCCAGGCAGGCCUAUGCUCGAAUACAUUAGCAUGGAAUAAUAAAAUAGGACGCGCGGUUCUAUUUUGUUGGUUUAUAGGACCGCCGUAAUGAUUAAUAGGGACAGUCGGGGGCAUCAGUAUUCAACUGUCAGAGGUGAAAUUCUUGGAUCAGUUGAAGACUAACUACUGCGAAAGCAUUUGCCAAGGAUGUUUUCAUUAAUCAGGAACGAAAGUUAGGGGGAUCGAAGACGAUCAGAUACCGUCGUAGUCUUAACCAUAAACUAUGCCGACUAGGGAUCGGGACGGUGUUAUUCAUGACCCCGCUCGGCACCUUACGAGAAAUCAAAGUGCUUGGGCUCCAGGGGGAGUAUGGUCGCAAGGCUUGAGACUUAUAGAAAUUGACGGAAAGGGCACCACCAGGGUGGAGGCCUGCGGCUUAAUUUUACUCCAUCACGGGGAAACUUAACAGGGCCAGACACAAUAAGGAUUGAAGAUUGAGGAGACCUUUCUUUGAUUAUUGGGUGGUGGAGCAUGGCCGGUCUUUACUUAGGCGGGGGACUUGUCUAGCUUGAGUACGACUAACUAAGACAACCCUUACAUGCUAAAAUAUCCGCGCUUGGGUAG
rnacentral:rRNA from 1 species